rnacentral:rRNA from 1 species
CGGACGGGUGAGUAAUGCUUGGGAGUCUAGCUUAUGGAGGGGGAUAACUACGGGAAACUGUAGCUAAUACCGCGUAAUAUCGAAAGAUUAAAGUGUGGGACCUUCGGGCCACAUGCCAUAGGAUGAGCCCAAGUGGGAUUAGGUAGUUGGUGAGGUAAAGGCUCACCAAGCCGACGAUCUCUAGCUGGUCUGAGAGGAUGACCAGCCACACUGGGACUGAGACACGGCCCAG